UAAUUCACUGGAAUUGCCGUAUCUGAAAAAAUACAAAUAUGACCCAAUAAAGCAAUGGCAACUUAUUUUGUUUUUAUCAGCGUUUGGAAUGAACGGAAACUAUUGGUAUACCCUUCCUCUUAUCAAGCGGUUGUGUGAUACUUGAUUGACACCUGUUACCUAGAUUGCUCUCGAGUUCGAUAUUUACUUCUUCAGUAGAAAGAUGACGUAACACUAACAUAACCGUAUUUCCUGAAUUUUCCAAGGGCUUAAUUUCUAUUGUAACUACACUGUUCUAGUUAGACAUGCACAUCCCUUUACAAAGAAGUAGGUACGGUUUUGACCGAAUUCUGUCCGGUUUUUAUGGAGAAAAAUUAUUUUGUGUUGCAAAUAUUUUCUUGUCAAAUUUCUGAAAGAUUAACUCAUAGUGAAUCUAAAAAGCAUAUGGAAAUCAAUUCAUAUAUGCGCAUGCGUAGUACAUAAUCAAAUAAAAUAAGGGCUUUGAGGCUAUUUCUGGUGUUUUCAUGGUUUUUGAAUAGAUAAACCAGUGAAGUUGAACACCUCUUCCCUCGUCGCCAGGAACAAUUUUUAUAUGGAUUAAAAAUUUGUUAAAUAACUUACAGUUCCUCUUAGUUUCAUCAAGGUCCAUAACUCUUUCAAAUAAUGAUCAAAAAGCCCAAACUCAAGCUAGAUCUGCAACCCAUUGAUCAUGUAGAAAUUUUCAAAUCAAUAGCUGUCGGAAUAGACAAAAGUCUUUAAAACUGUCAAUGCACGGAUGAACACACGGACAAACAGGCUGAUCACUACAGUGUUCCCUUCCAAAGACAGUGAUAUUAUUAGCACCACACCAAAAAAUCAUCUUAAAGACUUUCUAGUACAUAUCUAGAGUCAUUGUCAAAAUUCAUAUCACAAACUUAAUGUUUCUAUUGUUGAUUUGCAGGGUGAUGAUGGAGUAUCUGACCACACUAUUGACUGAAAUUCCACCAGUUAUACAGACAAAUUCUGAACUAUCAGAGACAGGGAAAUAUGCCUCUGCAGCACAAUUCUCACGUGUACCACAAAACUGUUAAUCCAGGAGUAUACGUAGUAUUCUUUCAGAUCGGAGAGAUUAUGGUUGAACUUGACUGCGUGAAGAUCAAAGUAUAGUGCGAGGAGACGAUUGGAUGUAUAGUUCUUCCCAAAUUCCAGGACCCACACCAAAUUCAGUCUGCUGGACUUCCAACUAAUUCUGGAUAAUGCCCUGACCAUUCCAGUGCACCGAAUUCCAAAUUCACUGAUGAACAGUGUGGUCCAGAUAAAUGACUGGACUGUGGAGAUUUAGAUACAUGUUGUGACAUCAGUAAUGGUAAACAGAAGAUUGUGACCUUGGAUCCGGACGUUUGGGGGUCACUAUCUGUUACUGUACUAUACAGCUAAGUACGGACUGUAAGAUCAGAUAUACUACAUAUCUAACAGUGACACACUCAGCCACAAAGAGGUUGUCUCUGAUGUCCACACAUAAACCUAAUGGACCGCGUAAAUCACAGUGAAUGUAACGGAGGAACUGUCCGUCCUGAUCUAGGAUGUGGAUACGGUGAUUGUCCCAGUCUGCUGUCAGGAUGUGACUCUGGCUGUCUGUAGUGAUGCCGCGUGGAUCAAAUGAUUGCUCGGUAUUAGAGGGAUGACCAGUGUAUCUAAAUCGGAGUUUUCCUGACUGAUUAACCACCACUACUGCAUCAACAUCCCAGUCAACCACACAGAUAUCCAGGUUCCUGUUUUCACUGAUGUAACAAGCAGAUGAAUAGAGAGAACGACCCUGAUCAUCAAACUGAAUGCUUUGUUUCUCUGUGGAGCCGGAGUAACGCACGACUUUGGAUUGUUUUCCAUCAUCACUGUCCAUGGUAACCAGGAGAUCAUCAGAGGCGGUACGGCAGACACCGCGAGGUAUCCACCCCUGUAGUGUGAUCACGGAAUCCGAAUCUUACUUGCGGAUGUAUGACCAUAGAAAAGAUUGAAGAAUGACACCUGAAAAAUAUUUCCUCUACACAACACGUGGGACAGUGUGGGAAUCUUCGAUGAAGUCCUGUCAUAUAUUUUUUUCUUUUUGAAAAUAAAUGAAUUUUUAUUGCAUCAACAUAAACUUGUCUUUUAGUUAUCAAUACGAGUUAAAUGCAGAGUAGUAU